UCUGUAGCAACACAAAGUGAGGCAGCGCUUAACACUCUUACCUUGUCCAAGUUCAACACAGUGCUCUGUUAGUGUUUCAAAAUAUGAUUGAUGGUGUGGGUAUAUGGCUGGGACAGGUCAAACUGCCUUUCUGGUGAUGGGAUGGAGCAGAUUGUGUGGACUUGGAACCAUCUCUGGCAUUGCCUAUCUCACUGCAAGAGUAUGCAAAAGCUUCAAGGUGUACAAUUUGCCCAAGAAAAGGGCUAAAUACUCAUUGGCUGGUGUGUAUCCACCAUGUCUGGUAGCUAAACCAGCUUGUAAUGGGAUGUGGAUGCCUUAUAGCACAGCCACAGGUCAUGUGACAGCACCUACCCAGGUGGGAGAAGAUAGAAGGUGCCAAGAGGUGGUGGGUUCUGCAGCUGGUGUGCAGGGCCAAGAGGAGCAACGGAGAUCUGAGCCUGUAGAUGUGAUAGAUCCCAAAGGAGCCGUGCGAAGGAGCCCGUGCUGCUGGAGGACUGCACCUUGCCAAAUCGUCUUGGCAGCCGCAUCCAUGCAGCCCAUCCAAGAGGGGGCAUUUUAUGGAAUGAAAUAUCUAACAGGAGUAUUGAAUCGAUCAUUGCUGAUGGUCUGGCAAAUCUGGCCUGCUGGUGAGUGGAAGAAGCCUGUCCCAGCCAGGUGUCUGAACUCUGUUGUUCUGUAUUUGGUGGCGUCCAAGUCUAAUUUAAAAAACAACAACAACAAAAAAAAACACUGUUUCUGGAAUCAUUUUAAUCCUUAUGAAGGUUUGAGGAAACUUGUUGCUAUGUGAAACAAAAUGAGUCCCUCGUUGUUAAAAUGAUUGCCCCCAAGGAAUCCUCUUAGGGAAUCUGGGCAUGUCGAGGGGCAAGAAGAGCUAUUUGCGGGCUGGCUGUUGUUGGCACACAUCUUUGCAGGCAUUGACACAGGAGAACAAAGGGGAACUGCUGUGCUUUGUUUGUGCUUUCCUAUAUAUCCAGAUUUCUCAUUUUGGUUUUCUGAAUGAUUCAAUA
rnacentral:lncRNA from 1 species